rnacentral:tRNA from 1 species
AAUUUAAAUAGUUUAAUUACAAAAUUUUAGAGUGUGGAUCUAAAGAUAUAAGGUUUUAUUUUAAAUU